CAAAAAUCAAAUGUCUAUAGUUGCCCCUCUUUUACUGGAAAGACGAAGUAUUUUUAGACAAAGAACGACUAGACAAGUUUUUUUUGACCCGACCUUAUUUAGGGAAACCGAAAGCUAAAAGAAAGGAAAAUGUGACCGAGCCCUGGUAUCUGAGCUGCCUACAUAUCCUUGGCUAUAAAUGAAUCAGGCCAUGUGUAGUUUAGAAGUAAAAACAGUGAUGGAGUAUACUAAGGUGGAGAGCCGAUCGAGGUGUCGUUCCGCUGAGGUUCCGGUCCGCGGUCCCGUUAUUACAUUAAAAUCAAAAAUGAAAAAGACUAACUAAGUCUAUCAGCUACGAGUUACAAGAUUCCUAUCUAUGAGUCUUCUGAAGCUUGAUCUUGAGUUUUGGUUGGUUCUUCAUGCAGACCCUGAUCUGAAUCUUGAUGCCUGUCAGCCGUAGGUGUUGGUUCAAUCUUCUUCAGCUUUUUAGACCAAGACGGGACAUGUAGAUCUUGUGACCUCAGCCCUGUCUUGAGCAACUCAUGUCUUUCAUUAACUUCUGCAUUUGGAUUCACUUCUUAUCUUUCUUUUUGUUGUUGUUUCUUUUUUUUCUUUUUAUUCUGGAUUGUGACAAACUUCUAUUGAUCAUCUCGGACUGCUGACUUGCAUUCUUGACACGAGCUUUUUUUGUUGCUGACCUGAAUUGCAUUCUGAAUUGAAUUCCCUUUUUUCCAGGUGGGCGCCUGAUUGCUGAACUUGAACUGACUUCCUUUGAAGCUGAACUGUUUUCCCUUGAAACUCGAACUGUUUUCCCUUGAAACUUGAACUGUCUUCCUUCGGAACUGUUUUUCCUUGAAACUUGAACUAUCUUCUCUUGUUCUCCAGGUGGGCGCCUGAUUACUAAACUUGAACUGUCUUCCUUCGAAACUGGACCGUUUUCCUUUGUUCUUCAGGUGGGCGCCUGAUUGCUGAAACUUUCUGUGUUGCCUUGUUUUCCAUGUGGGUGCCUGCAAUCAAAACCAACAAAACAAACGAAAUUUUCUGCCCCAGUUUGCACUAGGAAGAUUUGUGAGUUGUUAGCAGUAUCGUAUACCACUUAUACUAUUGAUGCGAUGAUAAGUAAACUAAAGACUAUACUAGGAUGUACGUCUCCUAAAAGUGAUUGAGCUUGCGGAAAACUAUAAACUAAACUUGACUAAAGUAAAGACUGACCUAUUCUCCAAGCGGGACCCCUGAUUUCAAGAAAACUAAACAUUGAUAACUUAAGAAAACUAAAAAUUGACCCCUCUCUUUUUUCAAAUUCAGACUUCUUUUUUUAAAAUAUCCUAGGAGAAAAUUCGUCAGACUAAGCUUUCUAUCUUAGGAGAAAGAUUCAUCAGACUAACACGUUAAUCCUGGGAGAAAAUUCAUCAGACUAGGUCCUUUUUUCUCUUUUUUGUUUUUUUGUGUGUUUUUGGUAUCUUAGGAGAACGAUUCAUCUGACUAAGACGUUUACCCUAGGAGAAAGUUCAUCAGACUAGGUCUUCUAUCUUAGGAGAAAGAUUUAUCAGACUAAGAUUUCUAUCCUAGGAGAAAAUUCAUCAGACUAGGUCUCUUUUCUUAUCUUAGGAGAAAGAUUCAUCAGACUAAGACGUUAAUCCUAGGAGAAAAUUCAUCAGACUAGGUCUCUUUUCUUAUCUUAGGAGAAAGAUUCAUCAAACUAAGACGUUAAUCCUAGGAGAAAAUUCAUCAGACUAGGUCUCUUUCCUUAUCUUAGGAGAAAGAUUUAUCAGACUAAGAUUUUUAUCCUAGGAGAAAGUUCAUCAGACUAGGUCUUCUAUCUUAGGAGAAAUAUUCAUCAGACUAAGAUUUUGAUCCUAGGAGAAAAUUCAUCAGACUAGGUUUUUUAUCUUUUUUUUUGGUAUAUUAGGAGAAAGAUUCAUCGGACUAAUAUUUUUAUCCUGGGAGAAAGUUCAUCAGACUAGGUCACUUUUUUUGGUAUCUUAAGAGAAAGAUUUAUCAAACUAUGAUUUUGAUCCUAGGAGAAGGUUCAUCAGACUCGGUCUUUUUUUUGUUAUCUUAGGAGAAAGAUUCAUCAGACUAAGAUUUCUAUCCUNN
rnacentral:lncRNA from 1 species